rnacentral:rRNA from 1 species
AAAUCAACCGAGAUUCCCCCAGUAGCGGCGAGCGAACGGGGAGCAGCCCAGAGCCUGAAUCAGUGUGUGUGUUAGUGGAAGCGUCUGGAAAGGCGCGCGAUACAGGGUGACAGCCCCGUACACAAAAAUGCACAUGCUGUGAGCUCGAUGAGUAGGGCGGGACACGUGGUAUCCUGUCUGAAUAUGGGGGGACCAUCCUCAAAGGCUAAAUACUCCUGACUGACCGAUA